CCAGUGAGAAUAUAUUUUUCUUUAAAAAAUGCAAUAUUUUAUUACCAAAAUCUACCAGUUCAAUAAUUUACAAUUUUAUUCUCUAGAGCACAAAAUAAGUAAAACCGUGCUCUAUUGGUUUGUGUCUAAUGGACUUGUAACUGUGUGACGUGUGUCCAUAUUUGGAUACAAAAAGACCUCCUUGCAAAAAUGCCCGGCCAUAGUUAUAAUC